AGGGAGGUCUGGGCUGCCUUGAAAUGUGGACAGAGACCGGUGUGGAUGUGGGACAGGGAUUCAUCAGGAUGAGGAGGAAAUCUGUCCUCUUUAUGAACCCCUGGGAUGUAGAAGGGCGGUGCAAGGAUGGGACUUGGAACAGGCUUCUCGGACGUCACAGGGGAGUGCAAGAGGUGCACCUUGUCUCUCAGGUUGAACAGGCCCAACCAAAGGGCCCUCGACCACAGCUCUGGACAGCAGUGUGGGAGGCAUGAAGAGACAGCCGGAGCUACAUACGCCUUCAUUCAGAAUGACCGGAUUGCUGUUUUCUGAAGAUGUCUUUAAACGAUAUCGAACUCUAGGUUCUAACAGUUGGAGGGACACUCAUGAAUACCUUCUUUGGACUCAGUACGUGUUUUAAGACACAUAAGCUUCACUAAAAGGUAAGCUAAGUUCCCUUGUUAUAAAAAUGAAAGCCCAAUGAUUCAUAGUGUUUUAAUAUUGAUUUGUCUGGUCUUGUUAUGCUGUAUGUUAUAGAUACAAAAUAUGCACUGCAAAAAAAUAUUUUAGCCAUAUUAUGUAAAGUUUUUACAAUUUGGUUUUGUGCACAAUAGCAGGAAUGUCUAAUUUCACAGUAAUUUUAAAGAUUUUCUAUAUGUAACCCAAAAUUAAAUUGCUAAAACAUUUCUUAAUGUAAACUACAAAUAUUUAUACAUCAGAAGUUGUUUUAUAUUCAAUGUUGCAUAACUUACUCACCUUCAAGAUUUUAUCAUGUGCUUUUUUUCAGUAUUUACCUGGUUGGCUCUCUCAGCUGAUAGCUGCUAUAGAGAGGAGCGCGUGAAGCAAACACUACAUUUAGUGGCUCCCUCUGCUGGCUGAAACAUGCACAACAUCACUUGACAAAAUACAAAAGGAUACAUCUCCCACUCCCACAUGACUGGUUGUAAGGAGCCCAAUGUAAGCAAAAAACUGCAAUAUUAGUACAUGAAGUAUUAGCUCAUAUUCUCAGCAAUUAUGUGUAUUUUUUUCUAUGCUUUUACAAACAUAUCAAAACCAGCAAGUGCAAUAAGAGCAAUUGCAAUAUCUAGUCAUAUGCUGUGCAAUAAAACAUUAAAACGAAUGACUUCUUCACAAUUGAGGGGGUGCAUGUGUACCAUGUAAAUUCCUUGUUUGGACAGCUGCCGAGGAACUAGCUGUUCUUCAAUCCUCUCCACUUAAGCCUUGUCGAUGUGGAUGGGGGCAUCCUCACCUCUGCUUUGUCUUCUUGACAUUGAUGAAGAAGUUGUUGUCCUUCAACCACACUGCCAGGUUGCUGACCUCCCCGUCGGCAGUCAAAUCGUUGUCUGUAAUCAGGGCUGUGGUGACACUGUGGUGUCAUUAGCAAACUUCAUGAAGGUCUUUAAGUUACGUGUUGCCACACAGUUUUAGGUGAACUGGGAAUACUGGAGAGAACUGAGCAGAAAUCCAUGUGGGCCCUCUGUGUUAAGGGACAGUGUAAAGAAACAAGAUUUUAUCAAGUCUCACAAAGUGUUUGAAGUCCAACUUUAGGCUGUAAUAUCGUUUGCAGGUCGCCUGUAAACUGUUAAAUCUUUCUGGAGAAAGCAAAACAGGAUCUGGCAGUUUUGUAUGAUUUUAUUCUGGAAGAUCAGGUAUCUUCCGUGACAUUCAAAAUUAUUUUUGCUGACAGUAGCAACAAGGGAAAAUAAUGAAUUGGAUUCAAGCAUGUCAAGUGUUGUUCUUGGACAUUUAUUCCUUUUGGUUCAGGCUUUCAUAGACCCCCAUUCCUGCCAAUUAGGACUACAUUUGACUAAGAAUUUCAAACCUAAAAUAAAUGUAUUAAAAAAUAUGCAACUGGAAAAAUAAUCUGUUUGAAGGUCUUGGGUAUCAAAAAACAAACAAAAAAACAUAUAGUUUAUAUUUUAAAUAGUAUUUUUUAUUACUUGAUAUUACUGUAGGCAACUGUUUCUUCAGUGAAACAGUGAUCAUUCUUGGAGAGGGGAUUUAAAAAUUACACUUUUCAGAGCUUUAAGAGCUUUAAAAUGUAAAAAGUAGGUAUUUCAAAUCAAAUUUCAAAAAAUAUCUGUGUUAAAUUGAUUUAUUUAUGAAAAGUCGAGGAUGGAGGGAGGCAUGACUAAACAUGUCGAAGAUCCUUUCAAAUCAAAAGAAAAUUUCAGUCUAUAUUACUCACUUAGCCUUUCGAUGUAAAAACAAACGCCAUUUAAUGUGGAUCCCAUGGAGAAAUCAAUCAAUCUAAUAGCUAAAGCCCCAACACUAGUGGAGUGACCCUGACAUACAGGUAACGCCAGUGAAUGACCAUGUUUGUCCAAUUUUCUUCAUCAUACAACAUACAGGGAAUCAUCUCCUUUGAGUACGAUACACGGGUCAUGUUUUCUCUAAACACGAAAAGGUCACAUAACACCAAUACAUCCACUCACAAAUUAUCUGAACCUUUAAGUCCAUCCAUCCUUUCACUGAUUCUUUUUCUACACCCCCUUUUUAAAAAAUGUUUCUUUCUCUCGUUUUGCUUGAAAACUUUUUAAAAGAUUAAAAGAUGAAGCAUAGUGUUGAGGUAACAUAGGGUGGAAGGGUUGAGGGAACCUAGGGCUGAGGGAACCUAGGGCUGAGGGAACCUAGGGCUGAGGGAACAUAGGGCAGAGGGAACAUAGACAACGACAAACAGCCAAGACGUUUACUAAACAGACUCCCACAGGGCCCCACCUUUCAAAGGACAGCCUCUCUUGCCGUGUCUCAAGGGUAUCUACUUCAACAGUAAAUGUGUACAUGUCAUUAAUUUGUUGGACUGCACAUUUCCAACAUAAAAUCUUUUAAUGAUGUCA
ensembl:lncRNA